rnacentral:rRNA from 1 species
AUGAACGCUGGCGGCGUGCCUCAUACAUGCAAGUCGAGCGAACAGACGAGGAGCUUGCUCCUCUGACGUUAGCGGCGGACGGGUGAGUAACACGUGGAUAACCUACCUAUAAGACUGGGAUAACUUCGGGAAACCGGAGCUAAUACCGGAUAAUAUAUUGAACCGCAUGGUUCAAUAGUGAAAGACGGUUUUGCUGUCACUUAUAGAUGGAUCCGCGCCGCAUUAGCUAGUUGGUAAGGUAACGGCUUACCAAGGCAACGAUGCGUAGCCGACCUGAGAGGGUGAUCGGCCACACUGGAACUGAGACACGGUCCAGACUCCUACGGGAGGCAGCAGUAGGGAAUCUUCCGCAAUGGGCGAAAGCUUGACGGAGCAACGCCGCGUGAGUGAUGAAGGUCUUCGGAUCGUAAAACUCUGUUAUUAGGGAAGAACAAAUGUGUAAGUAACUACGCACGUCUUGACGGUACCUAAUCAGAAAGCCACGGCUAACUACGUG